ensembl:lncRNA
CUUUGUUGUCCGACUGCAACUGAAUGCACCAAUGACGUUAGUUAGAUCUUUUGAUUGUAUUACGUUUGGAUUGGAAGAAGCUUUGAAGACAUUUCCUGAUGCCGGAGGAGAACACGAGCAGCUUUGGACCUUUGAGAGAGUUUAUGCCUCAGAGCAGACAAAGCUUCACGCUUUGCCCCCCCCCCGGAUCUCUGGCGGCCCCCUGGAGGCGGGGGGGCGCGGACCCCAUGUUGGGAACCACUGAGUUAGAAGAUGGUGAAAGUGCAGCUAAAGUUAAGUUACCGAAACUACGGAUAAGCAACGUUUCCUUUUACUUCCAGAAAAAUAAAAGCCUCAUAUUUGCUAUUUAUUAAGAAAAUCAUUAAAAGCAACACUUCUACCAAGUUUGUUUUAGUUUGUUGGUAUUUAUCAGAGCAGUAGCACAUUUUCCACGGUUUUACUGUCCGUUGUCUUGUUUUAAUCAGUUUUCAGUUCAGUAAUUCAGUCCUUCGGCUGAUUGGACCAACAGACACUGAAGGACUCCGACAGCUGAGUGAAAGUAGCAGUUCCUCCUGAAGGUCAGAGAUUGCAGCAUCUGAGGGCCUCUUCAAAAGAAGACGUAGCUGAUGAAGGUAUUCUGGAGCAGGACCAGAAAGACCACGACCAAGCAGCCUUGAGAUCUUAGGCAGCGUCUCCCUCAGACCAAAGAACUACAGACUCUUCACAACCUGCUCAAACUCUUGGUACAGGACCUCACCACACGGGUCAAGAAGGUUUCUGUCUCAUUUCUACUCUGAAGCUCACCUUCUCCUGCUCAAACUGCUGACAAAUGUUUC